UAAUACAUGCAAGUCGAACGAGUUCUCGUUGAUGAUCGGUGCUUGCACCGAGAUUCAACAUGGAACGAGUGGCGGACGGGUGAGUAACACGUGGGUAACCUGCCCUUAAGUGGGGGAUAACAUUUGGAAACAGAUGCUAAUACCGCAUAGAUCCAAGAACCGCAUGGUUCUUGGCUGAAAGAUGGCGUAAGCUAUCGCUUUUGGAUGGACCCGCGGCGUAUUAGCUAGUUGGUGAGGUAAUGGCUCACCAAGGCGAUGAUACGUAGCCGAACUGAGAGGUUGAUCGGCCACAUUGGGACUGAGACACGGCCCAAACUCCUACGGGAGGCAGCAGUAGGGAAUCUUCCACAAUGGACGCAAGUCUGAUGGAGCAACGCCGCGUGAGUGAAGAAGGCUUUCGGGUCGUAAAACUCUGUUGUUGGAGAAGAAUGGUCGGCAGAGUAACUGUUGUCGGCGUGACGGUAUCCAACCAGAAAGCCACGGCUAACUACGUGCCAGCAGCCGCGGUAAUACGUAGGUGGCAAGCGUUAUCCGGAUUUAUUGGGCGUAAAGCGAGCGCAGGCGGUUUUUUAAGUCUGAUGUGAAAGCCCUCGGCUUAACCGAGGAAGCGCAUCGGAAACUGGGAAACUUGAGUGCAGAAGAGGACAGUGGAACUCCAUGUGUAGCGGUGAAAUGCGUAGAUAUAUGGAAGAACACCAGUGGCGAAGGCGGCUGUCUGGUCUGUAACUGACGCUGAGGCUCGAAAGCAUGGGUAGCGAACAGGAUUAGAUACCCUGGUAGUCCAUGCCGUAAACGAUGAAUGCUAGGUGUUGGAGGGUUUCCGCCCUUCAGUGCCGCAGCUAACGCAUUAAGCAUUCCGCCUGGGGAGUACGACCGCAAGGUUGAAACUCAAAGGAAUUGACGGGGGCCCGCACAAGCGGUGGAGCAUGUGGUUUAAUUCGAAGCAACGCGAAGAACCUUACCAGGUCUUGACAUCUUUUGAUCACCUGAGAGAUCAGGUUUCCCCUUCGGGGGCAAAAUGACAGGUGGUGCAUGGUUGUCGUCAGCUCGUGUCGUGAGAUGUUGGGUUAAGUCCCGCAACGAGCGCAACCCUUAUGACUAGUUGCCAGCAUUUAGUUGGGCACUCUAGUAAGACUGCCGGUGACAAACCGGAGGAAGGUGGGGAUGACGUCAAAUCAUCAUGCCCCUUAUGACCUGGGCUACACACGUGCUACAAUGGAUGGUACAACGAGUUGCGAGACCGCGAGGUCAAGCUAAUCUCUUAAAGCCAUUCUCAGUUCGGACUGUAGGCUGCAACUCGCCUACACGAAGUCGGAAUCGCUAGUAAUCGCGGAUCAGCACGCCGCGGUGAAUACGUUCCCGGGCCUUGUACACACCGCCCGUCACACCAUGAGAGUUUGUAACACCCGAAGCCGGUGGCGUAACCCUUUUAGGGAGCGAGCCGUCUAAGGUGGGACAAAUGAUUAGGGUGAAGUCGUAA
rnacentral:rRNA from 2 species